rnacentral:rRNA from 1 species
CUCCUGCUCAAUGGUUAACUAAAUAGCCGCAGUACAUUGACUGUGCAAAGGUAGCAUAAUCAGUUGGCCUAUAAUUGAGGUCUAGUAUGAAUGGAGCAUUGGGUGUAUACUGUCUUAAUGAGUUAGUAUAAUUUACUUAAUAAGUGUAAAUACUUAUAAUUAAAUAAUAGACGAUAAGACCCUAGAAAUUUUUUAUAAAAUAUAAUUAUUAUUAUUAUUAUUUUGCUGGGGCGGCAGAAUAGCAAUUAACCUAUUUUCUUAAAUAUGAAGAUAUCAGUAAAAAUAUAAUUACUCUAGGGAUAACAGCAUAAUUUAUAAUAGUUUGUGACCUCGAUGUUGGACUAAGGUUUAUAUUGUUUAGAAGAUAAAUAUACUUGCUCUGUUCGAGCAUUAAUCCUU